GACGAACGCUGGCGGCGUGCUUAACACAUGCAAGUCGAACGGAAAGGCCCUGCUUUUGUGGGGUGCUCGAGUGGCGAACGGGUGAGUAACACGUGAGUAACCUGCCCUUGACUUUGGGAUAACUUCAGGAAACUGGGGCUAAUACCGGAUAGGAGCUCCUGCUGCAUGGUGGGGGUUGGAAAGUUUCGGCGGUUGGGGAUGGACUCGCGGCUUAUCAGCUUGUUGGUGGGGUAGUGGCUUACCAAGGCUUUGACGGGUAGCCGGCCUGAGAGGGUGACCGGCCACCUUGGGACUGAGAUACGGCCCAGACUCCUACGGGAGGCAGCAGUGGGGAAUAUUGCACAAUGGGCCGAAGCCUGAUGCAGCAACGCCGCGUGCGGGAUGACGGCCUUCGGGUUGUAAACCGCUUUCGCCUGUGACGAAGCGUGAGUGACGGUAAUGGGUAAAGAAGCACCGGCUAACUACGUG
rnacentral:rRNA from 1 species